AUGAACCUGGGAGUUGGAUGAUAACGGAAAGCCUUACGUGCUCCCCAGUGUCCGGAAGGCAGAGGCCCAGAUUGCUGCAAAAAAUUUGGACAAAGAAUACCUGCCCAUUGGGGGACUGGCUGAAUUCUGUAAGGCUUCUGCAGAACUGGCCCUGGGCGAGAACAACACAGUGUUGAAAAGCGGCCCGUUUGUCACUGUGCAGACCAUUUCCGGGACUGGAGCCUUAAGGGUCGGAGCCAGUUUUCUGCAAAGGUUUUCUUAAGUUCAGCCGAGAUGUCUUUCUGCCCAAACCAUCCUGGGGAAAUCACACACCCAUCUUCAGGGAUGCCAGCAUGCAGCUCCAAGGUUAUCGCUACUAUGACCCCAAGACUUGCGGCUUUGACUUCUCCGGAGCCCUAGAAGACAUAUCAAAAAUCCCAGAGCAGAGUGUCCUCCUCCUGCAUGCCUGCACUCACAACCCCACAGGCGUGGACCUGCGUCCAGAGCAGUGGAAGGAGAUAGCGUCCGUGGUGAAGAAAAAGAAUCUCUUCGCAUUCUUUGACAUGGUCUACCAAGGCUUUGCCAGUGGUGAUAGUGAUAAGGAUGCCUGGGCCGUGCGGCACUUCAUCGAGCAGGGCAUCAAUGUCUGCCUCUGCCAGUCAUAUGCCAAGAACAUGAGCCUGUACUGUGAGCGUGUGGGAGCCUUCACGGUGGUCUGCAAAGAUGCAGAAGAAGCCAAAAGGGUAGAGUCACAGCUGAAGAUCUUGAUCCAUCCCCUGUAUUCCAACCCACCUCUCAAUGGGGCCCGGAUCACAGCAACCAUCCUGACGUCUCCAGACUUGCGGAAGCAAUGGUUGCAGGAGGUGAAAGGCAUGGCUGACCGCAUCAUCAGCAUGAGGACCCAGCUGGUCUCCAACCUGAAGAAAGAGGGCUCUUCCCACAACUGGCAGCACAUCACCGACCAGAUCGGCAUGUUCUGUUUCACCGGCCUAAAGCCGGAGCAGAUGGAGCGGCUGACCAAGGAGUUCUCUGUCUACAUGACAAAGGAUGGCCGAAUCUCCGUGGCAGGGGUCACCUCUGGCAAUGUAGGCUACCUUGCCCAUGCCAUUCACCAGGUCACCAAGUAAUUCCCAGGUGCG